rnacentral:rRNA from 1 species
UACGUAGGGUGCAAGCGUUAAUCGGAAUUACUGGGCGUAAAGCGCACGUAGGCGGCUUUCUAAGUCGGGGGUGAAAUCCUGGAGCUCAACUCCAGAACUGCCUUCGAUACUGGAGAGCUCGAGUCCGGGAGAGGUGAGUGGAACUGCGAGUGUAGAGGUGAAAUUCGUAGAUAUUCGCAAGAACACCAGUGGCGAAGGCGGCUCACUGGCCCGGUACUGACGCUGAGGUGCGAAAGCGUGGGGAGCAAGCAGG